rnacentral:rRNA from 1 species
UGGGGAAUUUUGGACAAUGGGCGCAAGCCUGAUCCAGCCAUGCCGCGUGCAGGAUGAAGGCCUUCGGGUUGUAAACUGCUUUUGUACGGAACGAAAAGGUGCCUUCUAAUAAAGGGCGCUCAUGACGGUACCGUAAGAAUAAGCACCGGCUAACUACGUGCCAGCAGCCGCGGUAAUACGUAGGGUGCGAGCGUUAAUCGGAAUUACUGGGUGUAAAGGGCGCGCAGGCGGGAUAAAAAGUCAGUGGUGAAAUCCUACAGCUUAACUGUAGAACUGCCUUUGAUACUUUUCUUCUUGAGUUCGGGAGAGAGAGACGGAAUUCCAGGUGUAGUGGUGAAAUACGUAGAUAUCUGGAAGAACACCAGUUGCGAAGGCGGUCUCUUGGUCCGACACUGACGCUGAGGCGCGAAAGCGUGGGGAGCAAACA